rnacentral:lncRNA from 1 species
CCAAGAUUAAAUAGUCUUUGAAAAGAAAAGACUUCACCUCUCCACCCCAGUCUUUGGCCUUCUGGUUAUGGAAGAUGAACUUUAGAUAAUCUUUCAUUGCAGUAAGAACAAGUUGGAUUUAGAGCAAAUUUAGCUCAAACUGUGUGGCAAGUUUUUCCUACUAUAAUUUAUUGUUUCUCAGCAGCUAUUUAGAAUCCCAGUAGAGAUCCUUUUUCUAACAGUUGUGGCGUAUACAGAGUACAUAACGUAUUCUUGUCUCUUUUGAUUAAGAAGAGUGAGACCUGUAUUUAAAAACUCUUACUACCAGUGAGCCUUGAAAAACAUAAAUGGUUUUUUUUUUCCCUUCAGGAUAAUCCAGUGAAGUAACAACUAUGUCAUAAUACUAACUGGUACAAGCAGACUGAGUAAUUGGGUUAACAAGAGAAGAGUCUAACCUUUUCAGUGUUUGUCAUAGUACCACUGUAAAGUGUUUUAAGGGUAAAUAGUGAUUGGCAGCCACACCUGGCUUAACUGCCAUCACAUGGAAGGGAGUAAAAUUAGUUAACAUGGAAUUGUAAUUUCAGGGAUUACCAAAAAAAUGAACUUAAUUAGGAAAAGGAGAAGGAAUGGGAACGAAGAAGACAGUCAUCUCCUCCAGACCAAACGGAGUAGCAGAAACCCUGUCUUUCAGGACUCCUGGGAUACAGAGAUUCACUUUGCUCUUGAAGUGAGAGGAUUUGUGUGCUAAACUUUAUGACUUUUAGAAGAAAGCAUGCAUGCUAUCACAAGACUAAAACUAAGAAAACGGCUUGUGACCUGUUAAUCAAGUAGUGGUGAGUGUAUUUUUGAGAUUCUCAACAUAAUUGCUUUGGUCUCUUAAAUAAUAUUAAUUCACACUUAUAUAGAAAUCAUCCUUUCUCUUUAGAAGAAGGAGUAAACUUCCCAUGAGAAUAAAGUGUAGACUGAAAAACUUUUUACA